GACGAAGGGGGCUAGCGUUGUUCGGAAUUACUGGGCGUAAAGCGCGUGUAGGCGGUUUGCCAAGUCGGGUGUGAAAGCCUUGAGCUCAACUCAAGAAAUGCACUCGGUACUGGCAGACUAGAGGACCGGAGAGGAUAGUGGAAUUCCCAGUGUAGUGGUGAAAUACGUAGAGAUUGGGAAGAACACCAGUGGCGAAGGCGGCUAUCUGGACGGUUUCUGACGAUAAGACGCGAAAGCGUGGGGAGCAAACAGG
rnacentral:rRNA from 1 species